rnacentral:rRNA from 1 species
AAGUACAGUGAUGGAAAGAUGAAAAGAACUUUGAAAAGAGAGUGAAAAAGUACGUGAAAUUGUUGAAAGGGAAGGGCUUGAGAUCAGACUUGGUAUUUUGCAAGCCNUACCNNCGUGGUGGGGUCCCCUGCAGUUUACUGGGCCAGCAUCGGUUUGGAUGGUAGGAUAAUGACUUGGGAAUGUGGCUUUGCUUCGGUAAAGUGUUAUAGCCCNUGUUGAUACUACCNGUCUAGACCGAGGACUGCGUCUUUGACUAGGAUGCUGGCA